rnacentral:rRNA from 1 species
GACGAACGCUGGCGGCGUGCUUAACACAUGCAAGUCGAACGGAAAGGCCCUGCUUGCAGGGUACUCGAGUGGCGAACGGGUGAGUAACACGUGGGUGAUCUGCCCUGCACUUCGGGAUAAGCCUGGGAAACUGGGUCUAAUACCGGACAGGAGCCAUUUUUAGUGUGAUGGUUGGAAAGUUUUUUCGGUGUAGGAUGAGAUCGCGGGCUAUCAGCUUGUUGGUGGGGUAAUGGCCUACCAAGGCGGCGACGGGUAGCCGGCCUGUGUGGGUGGACGGCCACAUUGGGACUGAGAGGCGGCCCAGACUCCGACGGGAGGCAGCAGUGGGGAAUAUUGCACGAUGGGCGCAAGCCUGGUGCAGCGACGCCGCGUGGGGGAUGACGGCCUUCGGGUUGUAAACUCCUUUCGCUAGGAACGAAGCUUUUUGUGACGGUACCUAGAUAAGAAGCACCGGCUAACUACGUG